CUAAAAUAUGUAAUUAGUUUUUGUUUUUGUCUAUAUUUAAUAUUUCAUACAUGUGAUACAAGAUUUGAUGUGAUGGAGAAUCUUAAAAACUUUUUGGUUUUCAGGGUUUAACUAAACAAGGCCCUCUCUACUUUAUUCUACCAACGGCCCUUUUGGAGGGAAAUGGUAGGGACAGAGAAGUGUUUAGCGGGAGAGAAGCAUGCAAGGACACUCAUCGGCAGACUGCUGCACCAUGCAAAACGCUUCUCUAACACUUGUUUUUCUUGAUCUAUUUUGUA
rnacentral:lncRNA from 1 species